rnacentral:rRNA from 1 species
CGUAGGUGGCAAGCGUUGUCCGGAUUUAUUGGGUUUAAAGGGUGCAUAGGCGGCUUUGUAAGUCAGUGGUGAAAUACUCCAGCUCAACUGGAGAGGUGCCAUUGAUACUGCAGAGCUAGAGUACUGAUGAGGUAGGCGGAAUGGACGGUGUAGCGGUGAAAUGCUUAGAUAUCGUCCAGAACACCGAUAGCGAAGGCAGCUUACUAAAGAGUAACUGACGCUGAGGCACGAAAGUGUGGGGAUCAAACAGGAUUAGAUACCCUGGUAGUCCACACUGUAAACGUUGAUCACUAGAUGUUGGCGAUACACUGCCAGCGUUCCAGCAAAAGCGAUAAGUGAUCCACCUGGGGAGUACGCCCGCAAGGGUG